UUAAUUGAAGAGUUUGAUCAUGGCUCAGAUUGAACGCUGGCGGCAGGCCUAACACAUGCAAGUCGAGCGGUAACAGAAAGUAGCUUGCUACUUUGCUGACGAGCGGCGGACGGGUGAGUAAUGCUUGGGAACAUGCCUUGAGGUGGGGGACAACAGUUGGAAACGACUGCUAAUACCGCAUAAUGUCUACGGACCAAAGGGGGCUUCGGCUCUCGCCUUUAGAUUGGCCCAAGUGGGAUUAGCUAGUUGGUGAGGUAAUGGCUCACCAAGGCGACGAUCCCUAGCUGGUUUGAGAGGAUGAUCAGCCACACUGGGACUGAGACACGGCCCAGACUCCUACGGGAGGCAGCAGUGGGGAAUGUUGCACAAUGGGCGCAAGCCUGAUGCAGCCAUGCCGCGUGUGUGAAGAAGGCCUUCGGGUUGUAAAGCACUUUCAGUCAGGAGGAAAGGUUAGUAGUUAAUACCUGCUAGCUGUGACGUUACUGACAGAAGAAGCACCGGCUAACUCCGUGCCAGCAGCCGCGGUAAUACGGAGGGUGCGAGCGUUAAUCGG
rnacentral:rRNA from 1 species